rnacentral:rRNA from 1 species
CCUACGGGGGGCAGCAGUGAGGAAUAUUGGUCAAUGGACGAGAGUCUGAACCAGCCAAGUAGCGUGAAGGAUGACUGCCCUAUGGUUUGUAAACUUCUUUUAUAUGGGAAUAAAAUGUUCCACGUGUGGGAUUUUGUAUGUACCAUAUGAAUAAGGAUCGGCUAACUCCGUGCCAGCAGCCGCGGUAAUACGGAGGAUCCGAGCGUUAUCCGGAAUUAUUGGGUUUAAAGGGAGCGUAGGUGGAUUGUUAAGUCAGUUGUGAAAGUUUGCGGCUCAACCGUAAAAUUGCAGUUGAAACUGGCAGUCUUGAGUACAGUAGAGGUGGGCGGAAUUCGUGGUGUAGCGGUGAAAUGCUUAGAUAUCACGAAGAACUGCGAUUGCGAAGGCAGUUCACUGGACUGCAACUGACACUGAGGCUCGAAAGUGUGGGUAUCAAACAGGAUUAGAUACCCUAGUAGUC